rnacentral:misc_RNA from 1 species
CUUGACAUGUACGGAACCUCGCAGAGAUGUGAGGGUGCUCGAAAGAGAACCGUAACACAGGUGCUGCAUGGCUGUCGUCAGCUCGUGUCGUGAGAUGUUGGGUUAAGUCCCGCAACGAGCGCAACCCUUGCCAUUAGUUGCUACAUUUAGUUGGGCACUCUAAUGGGACUGCCGGUGACAAACCGGAGGAAGGUGGGGAUGACGUCAUGGAAGCAAGCU